UCUGUUGAGUAAAUACUUGUGGGUCUCGAGAUUUGUCAAGCAGCUUCGUGCUCCCGACACAAACCAUGGCCGGUGACUAAAGGCCUGGUUUUUCUGACCAGAUCGGCCCAAAAUAUUUCGUUGAUAUGGCAGGAAAAAGAUUCGCUCUAUCUCGGGGAAUUAUUCCUCUGUUUGUGGCCGAUCUGGUCCGCUUGGUUCGCUCAGGUAGCUGUAAUAUGAAUAAACUAAAAUAACAUAGGGAAGAUCUGGAUAAAGAUCUUCUGUAGAAUCUAUCUAUAGAAGAAUUAGUAAGGUAGUUAAGAUGUAUGAAGAUCAAUUAUAUUCUAUAAGUUAUAAAAUAUA
rnacentral:lncRNA from 1 species